CUACGUGCCAGCAGCCGCGGUAAUACGUAGGUGGCAAGCGUUGUCCGGAAUUAUUGGGCGUAAAGCGCGCGCAGGCGGAUUGGUCAGUCUGUCUUAAAAGUUCGGGGCUUAACCCCGUGAUGGGAUGGAAACUGCCAAUCUAGAGUAUCGGAGAGGAAAGUGGAAUUCCUAGUGUAGCGGUGAAAUGCGUAGAUAUUAGGAAGAACACCAGUGGCGAAGGCGACUUUCUGGACGAAAACUGACGCUGAGGCGCGAAAGCCAGGGGAGCGAACGGGAUUAGAUACCCCGGUAGUCCACGCCGUAAACGUUGGGCACUAGGUGUGAGGCUCCUUUCCGGGGGUUUUGCGCCGUAGCUAACGCAUUAAGUGCCCCGCCUGGGGAGUACGGCCGCAAGGCUAAAACUCAAAGGAAUUGACGGGGGCCCGCACAAGCGGCGGAGCAUGCGGAUUAAUUCGAUGCAACGCGAAGAACCUUACCAAGGCUUGACAUGUUAACUGUGGCUCUAGAGAUAGG
rnacentral:rRNA from 1 species